AGUUAAUGUUGGCGGCGUGCCUAACACAUGCAAGUCGAACGCGUCCUAAGGGCAACUUUAGGAUGAGUGGCGAACGGGUGAGUAUCACGUGGGUAAUCUUCCUUUAAGUGGGGAAUAAGCUCUCGAAAGGGAGUCUAAUACCGCAUGACAUUCCGGGACACAAGUCCCGUAAUCAAAGCCGCAAGGCGCUUGAAGAUGAGCCUGCGUCCUAUUAGCUAGUUGGUGGGGUAACGGCCUACCAAGGCUCAGAUGGGUAGCCGGCCUGAGAGGGUGAACGGCCACACUGGGACUGAGAUACGGGUCCCACUCCUACGGGAGGCAGCAGGCUAGAAAUUUGGGCAAUGGGGGAAACCCUGACCCAGUGACGCCGCGUGCAGGAAGGAGCCCUUCGGGGUGUAAACUGCUGUCGUGUAGGGAGAAGGGUACUAAGGUGAACAAUCUUAGUACUUGACGGUACUACAGGAGGAAGCCCAGGCUAACCUCGUGCCAGCAGCCGCGGUAAGAGUCACGUCG
rnacentral:rRNA from 1 species